rnacentral:rRNA from 1 species
GUAGGUGGCAAGCGUUGUCCGGAAUUAUUGGGCGUAAAGCGCGCGCAGGCGGUCCUCUAAGUCUGAUGUGAAAGCCCACGGCUCAACCGUGGAGGGUCAUUGGAAACUGGGGGACUUGAGUACAGAAGAGGAAAGCGGAAUUCCACGUGUAGCGGUGAAAUGCGUAGAGAUGUGGAGGAACACCAGUGGCGAAGGCGGCUUUCUGGUCUGUAACUGACGCUGAGGCGCGAAAGCGUGGGGAGCAAACAGGAUUAGAUACCCUGGUAGUCCACGCCGUAAACGAUGAGUGCUAAGUGUUAGGGGGUUUCCGCCCCCCUUAGUGCUGCAGCUAACGCAUUAAGCACUCCGCCUGGGAGUACGGCCGCAAGGCUG